GAUGAAGAACGUAGCGAAAUGCGAUAAGUAAUGUGCAUUGCAGAAUUCAGUGAAUCAUCGAAUCUUUGAACGCACAUUGCGCCCGCCAGCAUUCUGGCGGGCAUGCCUGUUCGAGCGUCAUUUCAACCCUCGAGCCCCCCCGGGGGCCUCGGUGUUGGGGGACGGCACACCAGCCGCCCCCGAAAUGCAGUGGCGACCCCGCCGCAGCCUCCCCUGCGUAGUAGCACACACCUCGCACCGGAGCGCGGAGGCGGUCACGCCGUAAAACGCCCAACUUUCUUAGAGUUGACCUCGGAUCAGGUAGGAAUACCCGCUGAACUUAAGCAUAUCAAUAAGCGGAGGA
rnacentral:misc_RNA from 1 species